ACAGUUGGGUUAACAAAUAAGAGGACCAUUUUGUUUUGAUACAAUGGUGAUUUACAGUUCAACCAGACUUUUUCAACUUAAAAAAAAAGCCACACUUUAGAGUGGUCCAUGACCGCAACACAACAAUUGCCUGGA